GACGAGGGAUCCUAGCGUUGUUCGGAAUCAUUGGGCGUAAAGCGGGUGUAGGCGGGCUUAUAAGUCAGAUGUGAAAUCCCAGGGCUUAACUCUGGAAGUGCAUUUGAUACUGUAAGCCUUGAAUGUGGUAGAGGUUACUGGAAUUCCUGGUGUAGUGGUGAAAUACGUAGAUAUCAGGAGGAAUACCGGAGGCGAAGGCGGGUAACUGGGCCAACAUUGACGCUGAGAUCCGAAAGCGUGGGGAUCAAACAGG
rnacentral:rRNA from 1 species